CACGUGGAUAUCUACCUCCUGGUGGGGAAUAACCUGGGGAAACCUGGGCUAAUACCGCAUAAGUUCGAGAGAAGAAAGGCGCAAGUCGCCGGGAGAGGAGUCCGCGGUCGAUUAGGUAGUUGGCGGGGUAAAAGCCCACCAAGCCAAAGAUCGAUAGCCGGCCUGAGAGGGCACACGGCCACACUGGCACUGAAACACGGGCCAGACUCCUACGGGAGGCAGCAGUGGGGAAUCUUGCACAAUGGGGGAAACCCUGAUGCAGCGACGCCGCGUGAGCGAUGAAGCCCUUCGGGGUGUAAAGCUCUUUCGGCAGGAACGAUAAUGACGGUACCUGCAGAAGAAGCUGCGGCUAACUACGUGCCAGCAGCCGCGGUAAUACGUAGGCGGCGAGCGUUGUUCGGAAUUACUGGGCGUAAAGAGUGUGUAGGUGGUGUCGUAAGUUUGGUGUGAAAUCUCCCGGCUUAACUGGGAGGGUGCGCCGAAGACUGCGAGGCUGGAGUAUGGGAGAGGAAAGCGGAAUUCCUGGUGUAGCGGUGAAAUGCGUAGAUAUCAGGAGGAACACCUGCGGUGUAGACGGCUUUCUGGACCAUUACUGACACUGAGACACGAAAGCGUGGGUAGCAAACAGGAUUAGAUACCCUGGUAGUCCACGCCCUAAACGAUGCAUACUUGGUGUGAGCCAUUCAGUUGGUUCGUGCCGGAGCUAACGCGUUAAGUAUGCCGCCUGGGGAGUACGGUCGCAAGGCUGUAACUCAAAGGAAUUGACGGGGGCCCGCACAAGCGGUGGAGCAUGUGGUUUAAUUCGACGCAACGCGAAGAACCUUACCAGCUCUUGACAUUCACUGAUCGCCUGGAGAGAUCUGGGCCCUUCAGUUCGGCUGGCGUCCACACAGGUGCUGCAUGGCUGUCGUCAGCUCGUGGCGUGAGAUGUUGGGUUAAGUCCCGAACGAGCGCAACCCCUGUGAGUAGUAGAUGAUCUACCCAGACUGCCGGUCGCAAACCGGAGGAAGGCGGGGAUGACGUCAAGUCCUCAUGGCCUUUAUGUCCAGGGCUACACACGUGCUACAAUGGACGGUACAAACCGCUGCGAAGCCGCGAGGUGGAGCUAAUCGCAAAAAACCGUUCUCAGUUCGGAUUGCAGGCUGCAACUCGCCUGCAUGAAGCUGGAAUCGCUAGUAAUGGCAGAUCAGCAUGCUGCCGUGAAUACGUUCCCGGGCCUUGUACACACCGCCCGUCACAUCACGAAAGUGGGUUGUACUAGAAGUCUGUGCGCUAACCAGCAAUGGAGGCCACGGCCCAAGGUAUGACUCAUGAUUGGGGUGAAGUCGUAACAAGGUA
rnacentral:rRNA from 1 species